GAUGAACGCUGGCGGCGUGCCUAAUACAUGCAAGUCGAACGAAACUUCUUUAUCACCGAGUGCUUGCACUCACCGAUAAAGAGUUGAGUGGCGAACGGGUGAGUAACACGUGGGCAACCUGCCCAAAAGAGGGGGAUAACACUUGGAAACAGGUGCUAAUACCGCAUAACCAUAGUUACCGCAUGGUAACUAUGUAAAAGGUGGCUAUACUACCGCUUUUGGAUGGACCCGCGGCGCAUUAGCUAGUUGGUAGGGUAAAGGCUUACCAAGGCAAUGAUGCGUAGCCGAAUUGAGAGGUUGAUCGGCCACAUUGGGACUGAGACACGGCCCAAACUCCUACGGGAGGCAGCAGUAGGGAAUCUUCCACAAUGGGCGAAAGCCUGAUGGAGCAACGCCGCGUGGGUGAAGAAGGUCUUCGGAUCGUAAAACCCUGUUGUUAGAGAAGAAAGUGCGUGAGAGUAACUGUUCACGUUUCGACGGUAUCUAACCAGAAAGCCACUGCUAACUACGUG
rnacentral:rRNA from 1 species